rnacentral:rRNA from 1 species
AUUGAACGCUGGCGGCAGGCCUAACACAUGCAGGUCGAGCGGAUGAAGGGAGCUUGCUCCUGGAUUCAGCGGCGGACGGGUGAGUAAUGCCUAGGAAUCUGCCUGGUAGUGGGGGAUAACGUCCGGAAACGGGCGCUAAAACCGCAUACGUCCUGAGGGAGAAAGUGGGGGAUCUUCGGACCUCACGCUAUCAGAUGAGCCUAGGUCGGAUUAGCUAGUUGGUGGGGUAAAGGCCUACCAAGGCGACGAUCCGUAACUGGUCUGAGAGGAUGAUCAGUCACACUGGAACUGAGACACGGUCCAGACUCCUACGGGAGGCAGCAGUGGGGAAUAUUGGACAAUGGGCGAAAGCCUGAUCCAGCCAUGCCGCGUGUGUGAAGAAGGUCUUCGGAUUGUAAAGCACUUUAAGUUGGGAGGAAGGGCAGUAAGUUAAUACCUUGCUGUUUUGACGUUACCAACAGAAUAAGCACCGGCUAACUUCGUG